UCGAGUGGCGAACGGGUGAGUAACACGUGGGUGAUCUGCCCUGCACUUCGGGAUAAGCUUGGGAAACUGGGUCUAAUACCGGAUAGGAACCAUCUUUAGUGUGGUGGUUGGAAAGUUUUUUCGGUGUAGGAUGAGCUCGCGGCCUAUCAGCUUGUUGGUGGGGUAAUGGCCUACCAAGGCGGCGACGGGUAGCCGGCCUGAGAGGGUGUACGGCCACAUUGGGACUGAGAUACGGCCCAGACUCCUACGGGAGGCAGCAGUGGGGAAUAUUGCACAAUGGGCGCAAGCCUGAUGCAGCGACGCCGCGUGGGGGAUGAAGGCCUUCGGGUUGUAAACUCCUUUCGCUAGGGACGAAGCUUUUUGGUGACGGUACCUAGAUAAGAAGCACCGGCUAACUACGUGCCAGCAGCCGCGGUAAUACGUAGGGUGCGAGCGUUGUCCGGAAUUACUGGGCGUAAAGGGCUCGUAGGUGGUUUGUCGCGUCGUCUGUGAAAUUCUGGGGCUUAACUCCGGGCGUGCAGGCGAUACGGGCAUAACUUGAGUGCUGUAGGGGUAACUGGAAUUCCUGGUGUAGCGGUGAAAUGCGCAGAUAUCAGGAGGAACACCGAUGGCGAAGGCAGGUUACUGGGCAGUUACUGACGCUGAGGAGCGAAA
rnacentral:rRNA from 1 species